rnacentral:misc_RNA from 1 species
GUCUUCUUCUCUUCAAACUCCUUGCUAUAUUCCUCCUUAGCUUGAUCAAAAGUCUUGCAUGCCUCAGCAGCAGCAGUUUUCUUGGGUCCAUUUUUAUCAAAGAUCUGCUUGAUCUUUGGAAGAACCUUUGCUUUCCAGUAUCCCAUCUUUAUUUCUUUCGUAUUAAAUACUCACAAAAUAUAUGAAUAUGAAGAAAGCAAACUGAAAUAUCUCUCUUCUUUGUUUGCAAUUAUAUAUUUGCUCUCUAAUAAUAAUAACAGAUAACUGUUGUUAUAUAUGAGUGGACAAUUCAAAAAAAAAACUUUUCUAUUUGUUAGCCAACUGUGCUUCCAAAUAUAAGGACCUGACAAGGCCU